AAAUAGAGGCGAACGGGUGAGUAAUACGUAAGCAACCUGCCCACGAAGACUGGGAUAAUCCCUGGAAACGGGGACUAAGACCGGAUAGGUACACAGACCGCAUGAUCUGUGUAUUAAAGGUGAGAGACACUGGUGGAUGGGCUUACGGUGCAUUAGCUGGAUGGUGAGGUAACGGCCCACCAUGGCGAUGAUGCAUAGCCGGGCUGAGAGGCUGAACGGCCACAUUGGGACUGAGACACGGCCCAGACUCC
rnacentral:rRNA from 1 species